UGAUAGGCGUGAGCCGCCGUGCCCGGCCUGAUGGUAUCUUUUGAUGCACUAAAAUUUUGUAAGUUUCAUAAAUGGUCCUAGUUCUUGAUGCCACUCAUACGGCUCCUUCACCUGGGGUUCCGGAGUAUCUUGUGCCUACAACACCUCUAGAUCUGUCUCUGUGUUUUCCUGGACGAUGUCACCCACCAGGCUGAAAGCACCCUAGGGGCCAGGACUCAGCAUUCCCAGCACCGGCACAGGCCCUGGCAGGUAGUGGGUGCUCGACCUGUGUUUGGUGAAUGGGUGAAUCCGGCCCAAGUGUGAUGACAGAGGAUUUGAGCAGGGGCGGGUGGGCGUGAUUGGUGAAGGCACCCAGCACUGGGAGGAUGGGCACGUGACGGCCUGCCGCCGCUGCGCAGGAGGAUGGGCUUGACAUGGCUGGAGCGUGGACUCUGGGGCCAGAGCGCCGAGUUCCAAACCUCGCUCUCUGGCUGUGCAGCCCUGGGCAGGUUACUUGACCCUCUUAUGCAUCAAUGUCUUUGCCAUCUUUGAAAUGGGAAUAAUAAUGAUAUCUAGCUCAGAAGGUUGCUGAGAGGAUCCAGUGACGUGUAAAGCACCGAGAAGAGGACUUAGCACAUCACAGUGCUCUGCUGGUGCUGGCUGCUGUCAUUAUGACAUUAUUAGAAUCUCAGCUCUUUGGGGACAGAGAACACAUUCUACAUCCCUGUGGCCCCAGCACCCAGCAUGAUGCCCGAUACAGAGUUGACACUCAGUGUCUGUUAAUUGAAUUCAAUCGUCUUUUGUCAAGCCAGCAGUCCUUCCUCACUCCUACCUUAGUUUCUCCUGCUGCAGCUCUGAGCCCUGCUCUCCAGCAUCCUGCCGCACAGCUGGGUCUUUGUCUCCCGCCGCCCUGCGAAGGGCCUCUGGGAAGGCAAACCGCUGCUUUUCAGCCUUCAUAAGGAGAUCCCGGGACUGGGCUGGGACAGGGGCUGGGUGAGCUGCGGUGGCAGGUUUGUAACCUCAGGUCCGACCACGCCUUGUCCAUGUGAACAGUCACCUCCCCAGGGCUUGCUGGCUGCCUGGUUUGCUCUUGGUGCCAGGGCAUCGGAGAGAGAAGAGAAGAGGCAUUAUGAAAGGGUUCCAGUUUUGGGUGAUUUAACACGGAGUGAGAACUUCACAGCUCUUCACAGAACCAGUCAAGGACGGGAUCAUGUCCUGCCCACUGGCACCACUCUUUGCAGUCUGUCCCUCUACGCCUAACUCAAUGGCAGUUUUUCCUGCAGUUUCCUAUUCCCGAACUUCCCCAAAGUACUCAACUUGGACUUUUAAGGAAAAAAGGAAACUAUUUCUGUUCACAGUCACAUUUCAUUAUCUUGUGUCCUAUUUUGGUAAAUUAUACAAUUACACUAAUGAUAAGCACGACUGGCAGACAGGUUUGGGGACAGACACAAUGGCUCUUUGGACACACUUGGCUCGGCACGUUGGCCAGCAGCCAGCUGGAGCCCUCCACAAGGUGGGCCUUGGUCUGCAGGCUCCACGGAGGGGUUGGAGGGUUACGGGGUGAGUCCCUGGGUGAGGACAGGUACCAGAUGGUAAUGUGGUGACGUGGAGAGCUAUCCCAGGGUGAUGCUUCCUGUUUGAGUUUACUGAGAAGCUGAGUUCUGCAUUCAGUGUUCAGUACACAUGUUUGGAGCCCUCAGUGAUCAAUAUGAAUGCCAUCAGUGUUUAAGUGCUCAGUAUCGAUUAGGUUUAAAAAGUAUAUUUUGUACCUUAAGUAAUUAGAUCUAUUAUUUAGUGAGCAGGGCUAGGGCACUGGGGUGGUGGUUCGUUCUGGGACUUCACAUUUUCCCAAGCCAAGCCCUGGAAAGGCAGUAGGUGGGCAGGUGGGAGUGGCUGACCCAGAAACCCUCUUUGUUAAGUAGGUGUCUGCACUCGGCUAGGGGUGUUCUGAAGGCUAAGUUUUUGCCUUCAAGGAACUUCUAUUCCUAAACAGAGUGAAGGUGAGAUUCCCUGGGGCAGUAGAAAUCUGGAGCCAGAUGUUGGGACCUUCUGGUCAAUGCUACCAGCGUGUGUCCUGCCCUCUGUGUGCUGGGGCAUCAGGAGGACAGGACUGUGCUUUCCCGUGCACAGUGCCCGCCUGGCCCUGCGUGACACAGGGGGUGGGGACCUCAUCUGUGAGGAUUGCCAGGGCAUGGCAUCCAACCAGUUCUCAACUGGAAUUGGGGACCAUUUCAUCUCUCCAAGAGUGGUGGAAGUGAAUGGAGGAAGGAGGGAUUGGCUGGCUGAGUGGCAGUGACAGGGGAAAGCUGGGCCAAAAGGUGAUUCCCUUGAAGUAUCAUUUAUGGAGUCACUGUGUUAGGCUCUGGGAACACUAACAGGAAUCAGACCAUGCCCACCGUCAAGGAGUCCAUGGUCUGGUUGUGGAGACAGGCUCUAAGGCAGUUUUCAUACGACAGACUGUCCCGGUUGGGAAUGCAUUUGGUCUCCGGUAACGGGACACCCAACAGACAGUGGCUUGUGCAAUGGAGACAUUUAUCAAUGUCGUGCAGCAGGAAGUCUGAAGGGAGGUGGUUCCAGCUCUGGUGAAAGGAUAACAUCAGUGAUGUUACCAAAACUCGGGCUUUUUCUAUCUUUCUGCUCUGCCAUUCUCAGCAUGCUAACUUUGUGUGCUUGUGGCCUCAUGGUCACAAGACGGCUGCUAUGAUGCCUCCUACAGUUAGAUUCAAGGCAGAAAAAAAGAAAAAGGCCAAGGAAAAAAUGGGACUAUAUUUUUAUCAGGGAAGAAAAGUGUUUCCCAGAAGGCCCCCGCUCAGAAAACAACCUCUCGUGUCUCACUGGCCAGAAUUGAGAGGGAAUGCUGCAGGGAGGCGGGAAACUGAGGGCCUAGCAGAUGGGGACAGGAUUUCACGAUAGCUCAGAUGAAGCUUGAUUCACCCCCGGGCCUCCAUACAUUGUGGCUUGAAAAGGGAGGGGUACUGCGGCCAGGAAGGAGGGGUGGGACGGAAUGGCUGUUAGGUAGAAUGAACAGUGUUUGCCGUGAGUGGUAAGAGCUAGGAUAGGCCCAGCAUGCAGACAGAACCUAGAGGAGCAGAGUUAGCCUGACUUGGGGACAUCAGGAAAGGUUUCCCGGAAAAGGUGGCCCCUGAGCAAGGUCUUGAACAGCCCUACCAAGGACAAGAGCAUGGACCAGGCACGGUGUCUCACACCUGUAAUCCUAGCACUUUGGGAGGCUGAGUUGGAAAGAUUGCUUGGGGCCUGAAGUUCAAGACCGGCCUGGGCAACAUAGGUAGAGACACUGUUUCUUAUUAAAAAAAAAAAAAAGAACAGGAGCAAAAGCACAGAGAUGUGAAAUAAUAGGGUGUGUCCAGGGAAGUGGGCACAAUUAGAUAUCGAUUAGGUAUUUAGCUAAGGAUAGAGAGAGAGAGAGAAUAAAAAUGUAGGUGGAAAGGUGGGAAGAACCCAUGCCAUGGUGGUCUUUGGAAGUUGUGCUACAAGUCUGCACAUUUUAGAAAGAUUACUCAAUGCUUGUGCCAAGAAUGGGCGGGAGAGGCCAUGAGAAGCUCAGGCAGGAGCAGGGAGACCGGUGGGGAGGUUCUUGCAGCCACUCAGAUGACAGCUGCUGGAGGCCUGGCGUAGAUUUUUCCAAAGUCAGGCUGCCAAUAUUUCAGCGACGAGAUAGGCAAGAUUCCAUGGCACGAAUCUCUGGGAGGGACAGAGGUCUCAAGAGGGCUGGGAAGCUCUCAAAAAAUGUACAUCAGGCUGUGCAAUCGCACACGGGGCAGUCUGUGUUCCAGGGAUGAAGAAAGAGGGGUGGCGGCCAAAGGGAUCAGAGCGUGGCAGGGGAGCUCUUUGCCAAAUUGCUGCCUUAAGAAGGCUCAACAGAGCAGGAAGGACAGACACGAGCCAGGGCUACCGGUGUGUAAAGAGGGUGUCUGGCACACAGGAAUAGGCAGAGGUUUGUGAAAGAUGCUAGAGGCAACGCAAGCCUUGUUGAGCUAUGAUCAGGGCCGGUCAAGGUCAAGGGAGGAGGAGGCUGUGCCUGGGCCUCACGGCACAGGUGUGCGGAGUGAAGACAGAGUGGGGCCCUUUGCGGCCCCUCUGCCGGGAGAGGGGCCUUCAGACCCAGAGGCUUCUGCAGAGGAACGGGCGGCCCUGGCAGCCCUGGAGGUGGGAUGAGCCCCUCCCUGCUAGCUGCUCCUGGGGUGUCCAAGGGGCCUCUCCCCAUAAAAUGGCAUUUCAGGCACCAAUGAAACAUGUGAACAAGACUGCCGGGACCACGGGUCCCCUCUGAGGAGCUCAGAGCGCAGGGCCUGGCGAAGGGCAAACGUGGUUCGGAGUCGGGGCAGGGAUCCCUGUAGAUUGCGGAAGGACUGGUUAGUGAGCACUUGGAGAAGGAAGGGGGCACCAGGAGCCGGAAUGGGCUCACCAGGACUGGUUGUGUCAGGACCAUUGAAAGGCAAGGCCACUGGUGUUGCCAUUUCUUACGCAUGUCGUCUCCCCGUCUAUCCUCUCUCCAUCCAACCUACCUAGGUACUUAUCCCUAUCCUUUUAAAAAAGGCCGCUUGUAGCGUAUUUCUCUUGUCAUCUUUUAUCUCGGUUUCUUCUCCCCUAGCAGUGGAUCUUGGAGAUGUUUACACAGCAGCGCACCUGGAGCUGCCUCGUGCUCUCAAUGCCUGCGGGGUCCCUGGUAUGGCUGCCCCAUCAUUCAUCCAACCAGCCCCGACGGUCUCCAGCCCUUCUCUCUUAUCAAGAUCUCCACAAUAGGCUGGGCGCAGUGGCUCACGCCUGUCAUCCUAGCACUCUGGG